CAUUUGCACUUGAUUCAUGUCAAUAGAUGGCAGGCUUAGAAUAGCAAACAGCUGAGAUAAUCAUUUUUUAACUGUGACCUUCCCUUAGAUACUUUUAUUUAACUGUGAUCAAGUCUUUAACCCAAACCUUUACUAUUUGUUUUUAACCUUUAACUAAUUUGCAACUCAAUUAUUUGAAAUGGCCAAAAGCGAAGAUCAUUACGGACGUGCAAUUGAUAGAUUAGGAGCCAAUUCUGUACAUAAGAUGGCUGUUGGUCUAGCAGUAGGAUCUUUAUUUUCAUUAUUUAUAUUCCGAAGACGCUUAUGGCCAAUCACAUUCGCCACUGGAUCUGGACUUGGAUUUGCACUCAACGAUUUCCAACAUGAUAUGAAUAAGAUGUAAAUCUGUGAAAUUAAUAAACUGUAGCUGUUAAUUAAUGUAUCUUAGCUGUGGUAGUUUAAUUUACACGGAGGAAUUGAUAAGAUGUUUUACUGUAAAAUAAAAUAGUUCAUUUCUGCUUUCUGUUAAA